rnacentral:rRNA from 1 species
GGCCAGACUCCUACGGGAGGCAGCAGUGGGGGAUAUUGCACAAUGGGGGGAACCCUGAUGCAGCGACGCCGCGUGGGUGAAGAAGCGCCUCGGCGCGUAAAGCCCUAUCGGCAGGGAAGAAGGAGGACGGUACCUGACUAAGAAGCCCCGGCUAACUACGUGCCAGCAGCCGCGGUAAUACGUAGGGGGCAAGCGUUAUCCGGAUUUACUGGGUGUAAAGGGGGCGCAGACGGCAGCGCAAGACAGGAGUGAAAGCCCGGGGCCCAACCCCGGGACUGCUCUUGGAACUGCGUGGCUGGAGUGCAGGAGGGGCCGGCGGAAUUCCUGGUGUAGCGGUGAAAUGCGUAGAUAUCAGGAGGAACACCGGUGGCGAAGGCGGCCUGCUGGACUGCAACUGACGUUGAGGCCCGAAAGCGUGGGGAGCAAACAGGAUUAGAUACCCGCGUA